UACAGAGGGGGCCAGCGUUAUUCGGAAUUAUUGGGCGUAAAGGGCGCGUAGGCGGCCAUGCGUGUCUUCCGUGAAAUCCCUCGGCUCAACUGAGGAAUGGCACGGGAAACUGACGGGCUUGAGUUCGGGAGAGGGAAGCGGAAUUCCGGGUGUAGCGGUGAAAUGCGUAGAUAUCCGGAGGAACACCGGUGGCGAAGGCGGCUUCC
rnacentral:rRNA from 1 species